rnacentral:rRNA from 1 species
ACGAUGAAGAGUUUGAUCCUGGCUCAGGAUGAACGCUAGCGGCAGGCCUAACACAUGCAAGUCGAGGGGUAGAGGGUGCUUGCACCCUUGAGACCGGCGCACGGGUGCGUAACGCGUAUGCAACCUACCUUCUACAGGGGAAUAGCCCAGGGAAACUUGGAUUAAUGCCCCAUGGCCCAUACAGAUAGCAUUUGAAGUAUGGUAAAGAUUUAUCGGUAGAAGAUGGGCAUGCGUCCCAUUAGCUUGUUGGUAAGGUAACGGCUUACCAAGGCUACGAUGGGUAGGGGCCCUGAGAGGGGGAUCCCCCACACUGGUACUGAGACACGGACCAGACUCCUACGGGAGGCAGCAGUGAGGAAUAUUGGACAAUGGGCGGGAGCCUGAUCCAGCCAUGCCGCGUGCAGGAAGACUGCCCUAUGGGUUGUAAACUGCUUUUUUACGGGAAGAAACACCCCCACGUGUGGGGGCUUGACGGUACCGUACGAAUAAGGAUCGGCUAACUCCGUGCCAGCAGCCGCGGUAAUACGGAGGAUCCGAGCGUUAUCCGGAAUCAUUGGGUUUAAAGGGUCCGUAGGCGGGCGUCUAAGUCAGUGGUGAAAUCCCGCAGCUCAACUGUGGAAUUGCCAUUGAUACUGGUCGCCUUGAAUCAAUGUGAAGUGGCUAGAAUAUGUAGUGUAGCGGUGAAAUGCUUAGAUAUUACAUAGAAUACCGAUUGCGAAGGCAGGUCACUAACAUUGCAUUGACGCUGAUGGACGAAAGCGUGGGGAGCGAACAGGAUUAGAUACCCUGGUAGUCCACGCCGUAAACGAUGGAUACUAGCUGUCCGGCCUGCAUUGGUAGGCUGGGUGGCCAAGCGAAAGUGAUAAGUAUCCCACCUGGGGAGUACGUUCGCAAGAAUGAAACUCAAAGGAAUUGACGGGGGCCCGCACAAGCGGUGGAGCAUGUGGUUUAAUUCGAUGAUACGCGAGGAACCUUACCAGGGCUUAAAUGUAGUCUGACAGGGGUGGAAACACCCCCUUCUUCGGACAGACUGCAAGGUGCUGCAUGGUUGUCGUCAGCUCGUGCCGUGAGGUGUCAGGUUAAGUCCUAUAACGAGCGCAACCCCUGUCGUUAGUUGCCAGCAUGUAAAGAUGGGAACUCUAACGAGACUGCCGGUGCAAACCGUGAGGAAGGUGGGGAUGACGUCAAAUCAUCACGGCCCUUACGUCCUGGGCCACACACGUGCUACAAUGGCAGGUACAAUGGGCAGCCACGCCGCAAGGCGGAGCGAAUCCACAAAACCUGUCUCAGUUCGGAUCGGGGUCUGCAACUCGACCCCGUGAAGCUGGAAUCGCUAGUAAUCGGAUAUCAGCCAUGAUCCGGUGAAUACGUUCCCGGGCCUUGUACACACCGCCCGUCAAGCCAUGGAAGCUGGAAGCACCUGAAGUCCGUCACCGCGAGGAGCGGCCUAGGGUGAAGCUGGUAACUGGGGCUAAGUCGUAACAAGGUAGCCGUACCGGAAGGUGCGGCUGGAACACCUCCUUU